UGAAUGAUGAAGGUCUUAGGAUUGUAAAAUUCUUUCACCGGGGACGAUAAUGACGGUACCCGGAGAAGAAGCCCCGGCUAACUUCGUGCCAGCAGCCGCGGUAAUACGAAGGGGGCUAGCGUUGCUCGGAAUUACUGGGCGUAAAGGGAGUGUAGGCGGACUGUUUAGUCAGAGGUGAAAGCCCAGGGCUCAACCUUGGAAUUGCCUUUGAUACUGGCAGUCUUGAGUACGGAAGAGGUAUGUGGAACUCCGAGUGUAGAGGUGAAAUUCGUAGAUAUUCGGAAGAACACCAGUGGCGAAGGCGACAUACUGGUCCGUUACUGACGCUGAGGCUCGAAAGCGUGGGGAGCAAACAGGAUUAGAUACCCUGGUAGUCCACGCCGUAAACGA
rnacentral:rRNA from 1 species